rnacentral:rRNA from 1 species
GAUGAACGCUGGCGGCGUGCCUAAUACAUGCAAGUCGAGCGAACGGACGAGAAGCUUGCUUCUCUGAUGUUAGCGGCGGACGGGUGAGUAACACGUGGAUAACCUACCUAUAAGACUGGGAUAACUUCGGGAAACCUGAGCUAAUACCGGAUAAUAUUUUGAACCGCAUGGUUCAAAAGUGAGAGACGGUCUUGCUGUCACUUAUAGAUGGAUCCGCGCUGCAUUAGCUAGUUGGUAAGGUAACGGCUUACCAAGGCAACGAUGCAUAGCCGACCUGAGAGGGUGAUCGGCCACACUGGAACUGAGACACGGUCCAGACUCCUACGGGAGGCAGCAGUAGGGAAUCUUCCGCAAUGGGCGAAAGCCUGACGGAGCAACGCCGCGUGAGUGAUGAAGGUCUUCGGAUCGUAAAACUCUGUUAUUAGGGAAGAACAUAUGUGUAAGUAACUGUGCACAUCUUGACGGUACCUAAUCAGAAAGCCACGGCUAACUACGUG